UAUGGUAAUGCCAGCAGCCGCGGUAAUACGUAUGGUGCAAGCGUUAUCCGGAUUUACUGGGUGUAAAGGGAGCGUAGACGGUUGUGUAAGUCUGAUGUGAAAGCCCGGGGCUCAACCCCGGGACUGCAUUGGAAACUAUGUAACUAGAGUGUCGGAGAGGUAAGCGGAAUUCCUAGUGUAGCGGUGAAAUGCGUAGAUAUUAGGAGGAACACCAGUGGCGAAGGCGGCUUACUGGACGAUCACUGACGUUGAGGCUCGAAAGCGUGGGGAGCAAACAGG
rnacentral:rRNA from 1 species